rnacentral:rRNA from 1 species
GCAGCAGUAGGGAAUAUUGGGCAAUGGGCGCAAGCCUGACCCAGCGACGCCGCGUGAGGGAUGAAGGUCUUCGGAUUGUAAACCUCUUUCAGUAGGGAAGAAGCGAAAGUGACGGUACCUAAAGAAGAAGCACCGGCUAACUAUGUGCCAGCAGCCGCGGUAAU